AUGAGGAAGGUGGUUUUGAUGACUGGAGCAAGCAGUGGCAUUGGCCUGGCCCUCGUCAAGCGGCUGCUGGUGGAAAACGAUGAGCUUCAUCUGUGUUUGGCGUGCAGGAAUGUGAACAAAGCGGAAGGUGUCCGAGCCACUCUGCUGGCCUCUCAUCCCACCGCCGAGGUCACCAUCGUGCAGGUAGAUGUCAGCAACCUGCAGUCAGUAUUCUGGGCCUCCAACGAACUUAAGCAAAGGUUUCAGAGACAGGACUUUGUAUAUCUAAAUGCUGAGAUCAUGCCUAAUCCAUAACUAAAUAUCAGAGCACUUUUCUCUGGCCUCUUUUCAAGAAAAGUGAUUCAUAUGUUCCCCACAGCUGAAGGACUGCUAACGCAGGACGACAACAUCACUGCUGAUGGGUUCCAGGAGGUGUUUGAAACUAAUGUCUUUGGCCACUUUAUCCUGAUUCGGGAACUGGAACCUCUCCUGUGUCACAGUGACCAUCCAUCUUGGCUCAUUUGGACAUCAUCUUGCAAUGCAAGGAAAUCUAAUUUUGGCCUUGAGGACUUCCAGCACAGCAAAGGCCAAGAACCCUUUGGCUCUUCCAAAUAUGCCCCUGACCUUCUGAAUGUGGCUUUCAAUAGGAACUUCAACCAGUGGGAUCUGUAUUCCAGUGUGGUAUGCCCAGGUACAGUACUGACCAAUUUGACAUUUGGAAUUCUACUUCCUUUUGUAUGGACGCUGUUGAUACCCAUCAUAUGGCUACUUUGCUUUUUUGCAAAUGCUUUCACUUUGACACCAUCUCUCAAUCUUCUGACCAAAUAUAUGAGCGUCACCACUAGCUUUGGAAGCAAUUACAUAACAGCCCAGAAGAUGGACCUAGAUGAAGACACUGCUGAAAAAUUUUACCAAAACUUACUGGAACUGAAAAAGCAGGUUAGGGUCACCAUGAACACAGUCCCUGGUGCUGAAAUGGUUCGGGACCAGUGACAUAAAACAUGGCUAUCACUGACUACCUUGCAGAAUGUGAGAUUA